CUUGUGGGUGACCUAUAACUGAGCCCUUCAGCGAAAGUUCGACGAGUGCUGACCUAACGUAAUCAUGCCAGAGUUUAUAGAAUGGAAAACACAUAUUGGCGGCGAAGAGUUACAGAGUCGCCAUCUGUCGGAAACGCCUCCCUUGCGUAGUAUGAGGGAUCACGCGGCGCACUCCUGGACAUUUAUGUAGGUACUCUCAAAACGAGGCGCUGUCUCUUUACCGAAUACGUACAGCGAACGCCACUACGCGCGGUCGCAGCGAUGCAGUCUCCCGAACCGGCUUCUUGCGUGAAAGUGAAUUUGCCAGUAUCUGGCAUCACCAAGUUCGCAGAGCAAACCGUCACGACAUUAGCCGGGCAACGGCUGAUGUCAUGACGGCAACAUCGCAGUCCCGGUGCCGUAGCAGAAAUCUUCCUCACCAGCGCGGCAUGCGGCAAAAAUACGGCGCCCCCCACGCAUCUUUGCAAGGGGAAGACGCAAUAGAUCUCCGCAGGAUUCAAACGGGGGUCUACCCAAAUUUAUUAAGAUUAAGCAAAAUUUUCCCAACGAUGUACGGGAGUGCUUGUCCGUGGUGUAGCGACUCACCACCGUCUUUGUACCACAUCUCAUGGGGAUGCCAAAAUAGACCGCCGAAUUUAAAUGCCUAGUUAGUUAGGUGUAAUCUAACCAACACACUGGAGCAAUGGGAGGCACAACUCGCCAGCUCAGACCCGAAGGUGCAGAAGGCCCUUCUUGGUCACGUUCGGCUAGCGGCAGAAGCCAGUGGAGCCCUGGACUUGGGGCACCACCCAUCAAGCUCCUAAUCCCGUAUCCCCAUUUCCCCAAUUCAA